UAGGUUGAAGCUCUCUAGAGUGAGCGUUUAGCUGUUAACUAAAAGGUCGUGGGAUAGAAGCCCAUCAAUCUAA
rnacentral:tRNA from 1 species